GUGCUCGCUUUGGCUGCAUGGACACUAAAAUUGGAACGAUACAGACAAGGUUAGCAUGGCCCCUGCGCAAGGGUGACAUGCAAAUUCAUGAAGCAUUCCGUGUUUUU
rnacentral:snRNA from 1 species